rnacentral:rRNA from 1 species
CGACCGGCGCACGGUGCGUAACGCGUAUGCAACCUACCUUUAACAGGGGGAUAACACUGAGAAAUUGGUACUAAUACCCCAUAAUAUCAUAGAAGGCAUCUUUUAUGGUUGAAAAUUCCGAUGGUUAGAGAUGGGCAUGCGUUGUAUUAGCUAGUUGGUGGGGUAACGGCUCACCAAGACGAUGAUAGGUAGGGGUUCUGAGAGGAAGGUCCCCCACAUUGGAACUGAGACACGGUCCAA